UCGGAUCAUACAUCUGGAACUUCAGUUCUUACAUCUGAAGUACUUCAGAUGUGAGAACCGAAGUACUUCGGAUGUGAGAACCGAAGUACUUCGGAUGUAAGAACCGAAGUACUUCAGAUGUAAGAACUGAAGUUUCAGAUGUAUGAUCCGAACUUCGGCAGCUAGACCUAAAGUGUUCAGAUGCUCAAUCUGAAAACUUCAGAGAUCCAUAUGACCUAAACUUCGGGUCCCACGCACGAGUUUUUUUUCUCCGUGUACCGAGAACGCGGUAGGUACUUCAAUCAUCUAAUGUUUGUAACUUUGCAAGUUUCAUGCGACAUCAAUGAUGCAUCAUAUUUAGUUUAAAUAAAUAUCCAUUAUCUGUUGCAGGUUGACCGCGAGUAACAAUCCGUGUUGCAUUGGCGAAGGCAUGGAGUAAACUCAUAAAAUUCUGCGAUUACGGUGCUCGAGUGUCUCAAUGAGGAGAUCGCGGCAACCUUGUGGCCGACCAAUGUUUGACCGCGGAGGAAAAUGGGCCCGAGGAAUCCUCCCGGCAAGACUUCGUCCUCCAGACGUCCAUGGCGCUCAUGAAACGGCUCCUUGUCGACGCUCAAAUGAUCGAUGAAGAUGUGCACGCUCAAAAGCCUCAUGUCUGAAAACUGUAAGUCUAAUUUUGUACA
rnacentral:lncRNA from 1 species